rfam:Laetiporus sulphureus 93-53 unplaced genomic scaffold LAESTscaffold_10, whole genome shotgun sequence.
GGUCCUAUAGCUCAGUGGUAGAGCUCACGAUUGCAGUGCUCCAUUGUUAUCGUGUGGUCGCGUGUUCGAACCACGCUGGGACCU